CCCGGGGGGCAGCGGCGCACCGCAUUCUCCCUAUCCUCCACCAUCAUCACCACCUCCCAAAUCUAAUGCACUAAGAUUAAACGAUCCCUGUGCAUCGACAACGCCAAUCAACGGUUCGUUACCAAUUUCAACCCCAACGAUCUCGCUUUUCCUCGAUGUAAUGGUUCCAUUCAGCUGUCCAUAGAGCAUCGAGUGCUGCUCGUGUUUGCAAACUUCUCACCCGCGAAGAAGUCUCAAAGGGGUUUUCCUUCUCUUUGCACAGAGAAUUGGCAAGGGAGGAGGCUGUGUGGAAAUCACUUGUGCUGCUGAAAAUGGAAAGUCUAGUGAUAAGCCACUGCUGCCCCUACCUAAGAAGGCCAAGAAGAUCCUAGUUGCCGGAAGUCAUGCUGAUAACCUGGGUUAGCGAUGUGGUAGGUGGACAAUCGAGUGGCAAGGUGGUAGUGGAAAUAUCACUGGUGGUACCACAAUCCUGGAUGCCAUCAGAUCCACAGUUGACCCAGCAACCGAUGUCAUCUUCUCUAAGAAGCCUGACGCUGACUUCAUGAAAAGCAAUGACUUCUCUCACGCCAUCGUCGUCGUUGGGGAACCAUUCCUGAACCGGGCCCCAGCACAAUCAAAGACGGUCUGCGGUGGUCAUCAUCUCCGGCAGGGCCGUCGACAUGUAGAAUUUUAGCUCCAGCGAAGACCUCAGCAUUGCUGGCUGAUGCUUGAAGCAACAUUUCUACUAUAUAUUUACAGCAAAGAUUUAGUUUGAAGUAAUGAAGCCAAAUUCACCUCCAAUAUCAGCAACGUUGCAUCGGUUUUACUGUAUAUAU